AUUUCCAAUGAGAAAUGCCUGCAUCGCUAAAAUGGGAGCAUGGGUGUAAAUUCUGGGAGGGUGUUAAGGUGACGCAACAGGCAUACGCUUGCUAUGUUCAAUUCCACAAGCCAAUAAAAAUGGCACAUGUUGCUCCCUUAGUAAGCUUCACACGGUAGAAUGGCAUUCUGAAACAACAGUAUGUGUUAGUUCGAGUAAAAGACUUUACAAAGACUAAAAUAAACACAGUCCUAAACAGUGCGCCAUAUUUUACAGUUAAGGCUAAUUUCUCUGGACUUCAAACGAAGAUAUCACUUGUAUAAAUAGCACAAUUUUCUGGGAAAAAAUACUUUACCUAACAAGGGGGCUUGUAUUAUAUGUUCCUGAGGUUGCUCUUGACACCUUCAUCACCAUCGAGGGACAUGCAUGGAGCAAAAUUGUUGUGAGCUUGAACAAAUGGAAGGCCAUUGUGAUGGUUCUGAAUGCCAUCA
rnacentral:lncRNA from 1 species